GCAAACUUGGUCAUUUAGAGGAAGUAAAAGUCGUAACAAGGUCUCCGUUGGUGAACCAGCGGAGGGAUCAUUACAGAGUAUUACACUCCCUAACCCACUGUGAACAUACCUUUUGUUGCUUCGGCGGUGCCGCCCCCGGAAGCCCCCGGGGCCCCGGACCAGGCGCCCGCCGGAGGCCCCGAACCUCUGAAUCUACCAUUGUGGAAUCUCUGAGUGGCGAAAGCAAAAACGAAUCAAAACUUUCAACAACGGAUCUCUUGGUUCUGGCAUCGAUGAAGAACGCAGC
rnacentral:misc_RNA from 1 species